rnacentral:rRNA from 1 species
GACGAACGCUGGCGGCGUGCUUAACACAUGCAAGUCGAACGGAAAGGCCCUGCUUUUGUGGGGUGCUCGAGUGGCGAACGGGUGAGUAACACGUGCGUAACCUGCCCUUGACUUUGGGAUAACUUCAGGAAACUGGGGCUAAUACCGGAUAGGAGCUCCUGCUGCAUGGUGGGGGUUGGAAAGUUUCGGCGGUUGGGGAUGGACUCGCGGCUUAUCAGCUGGUUGGUGGGGUAGUGGCUUACCAAGGCUUUGACGGGUAGCCGGCCUGAGAGGGUGACCGGCCACAUUGGGACUGAGAUACGGCCCAGACUCCUACGGGAGGCAGCAGUAGGGAAUAUUGCACAAUGGGCGGAAGCCUGAUGCAGCAACGCCGCGUGCGGAAUGACGGCCGUCGGGUUGUAAACCGCUUUCGCCUGAGACGAAGCGUGAGUGACGGUAAUGGGUAAAGAAGCACCGGCUAACUACGUG